rnacentral:tRNA from 2 species
CGGGAUAUAGCUCAGUUUGGUCAGAGCGCUGCAUUUGGGAUGCAGAAGUCGCUGGUUCGAAUCCAGUUAUCCCGAC